GACGAACCGUGCGAACGUUGUUUGGAAUCACUGGGCAUAAAGGGCGCGUAGGCGGCUUAUCAAGUCAGGGGUGAAAUCCGGCAGCUCAACUGUCGAAGUGCCUUUGAUACUGAUGAGCUCGAGGGAGGUGGGGGUAUGCGGAACUUCCGGUGGAGCGGUGAAAUGCGUUGAUAUCGGAAGGAACGCCGGUGGCGAAAGCGGCGUACUGGACCUCUCCUGACGCUGAGGCGCGAAAGCCAGGGGAGCAAACGGG
rnacentral:rRNA from 1 species